GUCUACCUCUGUUAGGGACUGUGUGGGGUGUAGCAGAAAGGAUGCAGACUACUGGCUCUCAGAGGAUUGCUACCUGGUGAGAGUGGACACACAAGAGAGCCUGAGAGCUUUAACUGAGAGUUGAAGUUAUUCUGGAGGAGGAAGAAGGUGGUGUGACCAACCCAUGAGGGUUUGCAUCGGGGGACAAAUGUUGAGUGCAGCAUUUGAAUGGCACGCCGUCUUCUCCAGACAGGCAAGAAGAAAGAGGGCUUUGUAGCUAGAGGAAGAGCAUGCGCAAUGGCAAGGGAGACGCAAAGGCUCAGUGUUUGCCCAGAGUGAGCUGCUUUUGGAGUGGUCAUGAAUUAAAAUGGAUAUCCAACUGUUCCAUGAGGCAACGAAUGGGGAUUUUACAUAUUAAAUCAGCAUUGUCUGCUGGAGCUCUCUGCUACCUGGGAAGGCUCUGCAUUUGGGCUGUCAAAGCCACAAGCUCAGACAAUGAAGAUGGCAAACUGAAGGGCAAAAAACUUCAUCUUUCAUGAGUGCAAUUUCAAACUUGGUGCCAACGAGAGACAUCUUCCCUGGACUCAAAUGCGCGAAGCCUGAACAGGACAUCUUGAGUGUUAGCUUCUCUGGGAUGGCUGCGGUGUGCAGCACAUUUUUGUUAAGGUGUUAUUCAAAGUUUCUGAUUAACAUAAGUUUUUCUUAAAAUUAUACAAAAACAUAAUACCAUGAUUAUGGAAAUAAAAAGCCACCCACAAGCUUACUAUCUUUACAAACCA
rnacentral:lncRNA from 1 species